CACGAAGGGGGCUAGCGUUGCUCGGAAUUACUGGGCGUAAAGCGCACGUAGGCGGCUUUCUAAGUCGGGGGUGAAAUCCUGGAGCUCAACUCCAGAACUGCCUUCGAUACUGGAGAGCUCGAGUCCGGGAGAGGUGAGUGGAACUGCGAGUGUAGAGGUGAAAUUCGUAGAUAUUCGCAAGAGCACCAGUGGCGAAGGCGGCUCACUGGCCCGGUACUGACGCUGAGGUGCGAAAGCGUGGGGAGCGAUCCGG
rnacentral:rRNA from 1 species